UCGAAACGUCCGGCAACGUCGUUGGUGCUGCGUCCGUGGUGUGAAUAUUUGCGAUUUAAACUAAAGAGGAGGAAGAAAUGGAAGGGUAAUUCUUAGGACGGUGCGGAGGCGCUCUCCUUGGCUUUGUUCGGGACCAAGCCCGGGGACAUCUUGUUCCCAGCGCUGAGAGUGAUCGCCGAGCCCGGCGAGUAUUUCUCGCGGGUCGCCUGCCGGCGACUCUUCACGGCCGGGGCCCGAUACUUCAUCCGCGCUUCGAGCCGUUCCUUGGCGAUGUUCGUCGCUGGGCUGACCGGCACCCGGGCGAUCCUCUCCUUGCACCAGGCCACGUGCCUGUCGUACGCCUUGACGCCGAAAUGACGAUUGCACGUGGGGCACAUGCCCUGCUCGUUGGCCCGCGUUGGCGCGCUCGACGUGAUCGUCGUGCUGCAUUGCUUUUGCAUGGUCGAGUCCACCUGAAACGAGAAAAAAAAUUAAAAGAAACGGGAACAACAUAAUAUGUAUCAUGAAGAAUAAUAUCGAUCGAAGAAUUUGAUAAUAUAAUUCCUGUUAAUCCACCAAUAGUAAAUAAUAUAAUGAAAC